rnacentral:rRNA from 1 species
AGCAGCCGCGGUAAUUCCAGCUCCAAUAGCGUAUAUUAAAGUUGUUGCAGUUAAAAAGCUCGUAGUUGAAUUUCAGGAUCAAGGAAUCGGUCAUGCCUUGGUAUGUACUGGUUUUAUUGGUUCUCACCUUCUAAAGAACCAUAAUGUCAUUCAUUUGAUGUUAUGGGGAAUUAGGACUGUUACCUUGAAAAAAUUAGAGUGUUUAAAGCAGGCUUACGCUUGAAUACAUUAGCAUGGAAUAAUGAAAUAGGACAUCCGAUUCUAUUUUGUUGGUUUCUAGGAUCGAUGUAAUGAUUAAUAGGGAUAGUUGGGGGCAUUAGUAUUCAAUUGUCAGAGGUGAAAUUCUUGGAUUUAUUGAAGACUAACUACUGCGAAAGCAUUUGCCAAGGAUGUUUUCAUUAAUCAAGAACGAAAGUUAGGGGAUCGAAGACGAUCAGAUACCGUCGUAGU